GUCACUUGUAUUUCUACAAGCUCAAGCACACAAUCGACAAGAAAAAUCAAAGAAAAGCCUAAAAGUUGAACAAAUUUUCUAUGUUACCCCCUACAAUUGCCCUCAAUGUGUAGCCCCAGAAAAUAAAACAAAAGAAGUUACCAAAUUGGUUGUGACAACUCCAUAAAAAUUGGUGGGUGCUUCUUCCUUUAGUUGUUUGAAAGCUUAAAAUUCUUACGCCUCUUCCAUGUGGGGUUCCUACGUAGAGAAUUUAACCAAAGCACAAAAACCUAAUAAUCUAUUAUUACUCC
rnacentral:lncRNA from 1 species